GGUUUUCUGAGUUGGUCUUCGAUUAUUUGAUUAACAAUUUUUGACAACAAAUCAAUGGAUGUAUACAGUUCCAGGGCAGUAUAUUUAUCCUUUUCGUGAAUAUUACCAACAAUGGCAUCAGGACUUAGAAGUAUAUCUAAAAUAUUUCUUUUGGAAUCAAGACUUUUGAGAAGGGUAGUUAGAAGAUUUAUUUAGUUCCACACAGACAUCAGCAUGUCCGCCAACAACUUGGAUUUUAAUAUAUUUAUUUAUAACUAUUGUUAAUAAAAUGUAAUACUAUAUGAUCGAAGAACAAACAGCGUCCAGUUAGUUUAGUUACGACACCUAUAAAUU